rnacentral:rRNA from 1 species
AGGAAAUUUGAAGGGAUCUGCUUCUAGUACGAGAGGACCGAAGUGGACGAAUCUCUGGUGUACCAGUUGUUCCGUCAGGGGCAGCGCUGGGUAGCUAUAUUCGGACAGGAUAAGCGCUGAAAGCAUAUAAGCGCGAAACCUACCCUAAGACUAGAUUUCCCUACCCUAGAGGUAAUAAGACUCGUUGGAGACUACAACGUUGAUAGGCUAUAGGUGUAAGUACAGUAAUGUAUUGAGCCGAGUAGUACUAAUUAGUCGAAUGACUUUAUCAA